rnacentral:lncRNA from 1 species
GGCCAGGCACUACUCUGUCCCAACAAUAAGCCCUGUACAUUGGGAAAGGUGCCGAGACAUGAACUUUGGUCUUCUCUGCAAUCCAUCUGGAGCAUUCAGUGACAACAUCGACUUUGAAGUUGCACUGACCUGGCCAGCCCUGCCACUUACCAGGUUGGGCUGUGGCUUGCCUUUUCACUUCUUGUGUCCUGUUUAAGAAAUAUCUACUAUCCCAAGAUUGCAAACUCCUAGAGAAGGGCUCAACAGUGAGUGCUGAGGCUGCACAGAGGAGGAAGGCAGCACAAUGAUGGAAGGCUUCCUAAAGAGAUAACACUAACAAAGUUGACCUUAGAAUUGGAGUGCCUGGGUUAGAACCCUGCUGGUACCACCUGCUUACUGCAUGCUUCUGAUGUGAGUUCAGGAGAAGACACUGGCAAGGACAGCAAAGAACAGGAGAACACUCUAGCUUCCCUGAUAGCAUUCAAGGUGCUGUCCAAACUGACUGUGAUGGCACCCUCCAGACAGACAGCGAUGCCACAUGUUCAAGAUGGCAGAAUCACUAUCAGCUUCAAUUCCUGAAUGACUGCAGAGCAAAAUUUCUUACCCGCAACAUACACUCUAUUUUCAGCCUCCCUGGACUGUUACAUAAUGAUACAUAAAAAUAUUUCUUGUGUUGAGGCAUCCCAAAUUUGAUCUAUUUGUCAUCACAGUCUAUCCUCUGAAUAUAUUUCUGAUCCAAAUAAUGCUAGAUUCAUGCGAGUUUAUAGUCCAGAGAUUUUUUUUUUUUUUUUUUUUUGAGACAGAAUCUCACUGUCUCCCAGGCCGGGGUGCAGUGGCAUAAUCUUAGCUCACUGCAACCUCCACCUCCUGGGCUCAAGUGAUCCUCCCUCCUUAGCCUCCAUGAGUAGCUGGGACCACAGGUGUGCACCACCACACCCCGCUAAUUAUUUUGUAUUUUUUGCAGAGGGGGGUUUCACCACAUUGCCCAAGCUGGUCUCAAACUCCUAGACUUAAGGGAUCUGCCCGCCUUGGCCUCCCAAAAUGCUGAAAUUACACUUGUUAGCCAUAGUAAUAGUUCCUAGCCACAGUCCGGAGAUAUUUUAAAAACUUUAGUGUGAGUUAUUUCUCUUUGCUGUAAUUCUCUCAUGCAUUUUGAAAACCUUUUCUGCCAUACAGUGGUUUUUGGGAAGUCCUUUUGGACAGACAUAUCACAGGAUGGAGAAACUAAAGAGAGAGAAUGCAUUAAAGAAAAAAUAGUACUUCGUAUUUCAGAAAUUACAAAAGGGUGUCAUGCCCCACAGCAUGGUGGGCAGUCAUUUGUAACCCACAGAACAUUGAGUUUCUAAAAUUUGAGUGUUUUUAACUUACGAAGGCCAACUUUACUGAUGAAGUGAUUACCCCAAAUAUGUGAAAUCCAUAUUUCAAGCACAAUAGCAGGAAAUCGGAAAUGGGUAGGUAUAUUUCUGACUGUCAAAGAGUACAAAGUAAAGAGGGGCCCCUGAAGAGUGACACUACUGGAAAAA